rnacentral:rRNA from 1 species
GAUGAACGCUGGCGGCGUGCCUAAUACAUGCAAGUCGAGCGAACAGAUGAGGAGCUUGCUCCUCUGACGUUAGCGGCGGACGGGUGAGUAACACGUGGAUAACCUACCUAUAAGACUGGGAUAACUUCGGGAAACCGGAGCUAAUACCGGAUAAUAUAUUGAACCGCAUGGUUCAAUAGUGAAAGACGGUUUUGCUGUCACUUAUAGAUGGAUCCGCGCCGCAUUAGCUAGUUGGUAAGGUAACGGCUUACCAAGGCAACGAUGCGUAGCCGACCUGAGAGGGUGAUCGGCCACACGGGAACUGAGACACGGUCCAGACUCCGACGGGAGGCAGCAGUAGGGAAUCUUCCGAAAUGGGCGAAAGCUUGACGGAGCAACGCCGCGUGAGUGAUGAAGGUCUUCGGAUCGUAAAACUCUGUUAUUAGGGAAGAACAAAUGUGUAAGUAACUAUGCACGUCUUGACGGUACCUAAUCAGAAAGCCACGGCUAACUACGUG